rnacentral:rRNA from 1 species
AGAGUUUGAUCCUGGCUCAGAUUGAACGCUGGCGGCAUGCUUUACACAUGCAGUCGAACGGCAGCGCGGGCUUCGGCCUGGCGGCGAGUGGCGAACGGGUGAGUAAUAUAUCGGAACGUACCCAAGAGUGGGGGAUAACGUAGCGAAAGUUACGCUUAUACCCCGCAUACCAUCUAAGGAUGAAAGCGGGGGAACCGCAAGACCUUGGGCCCUCGGGGGCGCGUCCUAUAUCUGAUUAGCUAGUUGGUGGGGUAAAGGCCCACCAAGGCAACGAUCAGUAGCUGGUCUGAGAGGACGACCAGCCACACUGGAACUGAGACACGGUCCAGACUCCUACGGGAGGUGGCAGUGGGGAAUUUUGGACAAUGGGGGCGACCCUGAUCCAGCAAUGCCGCGUGAGUUAAGAAGGGCUUCGGGUUGUAAAGCUCUUUUUGUCAGGAAGAAAAGGCUGUGGCUAUAUCCACAGCUGCUGACGGUACCUGAAGAAUAAGCACCGGCUAACUACGUGCCAGCAGCCGCGGUAUACGUAUGUUGCAGCGUUAAUCAGGAAUUCUGGGCGUAAAGCGUGCGCAGGCGGGUUCGUAAGUCUGUCGUGAAAUCCCCGGCUUAACCUGGGCAUGGCGAUGGAGACUGCUAGGCUAGAGGUUUGUCAGAGGGGGUAUAAAUCCACCUGGUAGCAUGAAUGCGUAAAGAUGUGGGAGGAACACGAUGCGAAGCGGUCCCCUGGUCAAACUUGAGCUCAUGCACGAUCUGCGGAGCACCGAUUACAUUCGCGUGGUCAGUCCCACGUCUCUUAAGCCGAUGUCUACUAGCUGGUGGGAUCUAAUCGACUUAGUAACCGCAGCUACGCUGUGAAGUAGACCGCCUGGGGAGUACGGUUCGCAAGAUUAAAACUCAAAAGGAAUUGACGGGGACCCGCACAAGCGGUGGAUGAUGUGGAUUAAUUCGAUGCAACCGCGAAAAACCUUACCUACCCUUGACAUGGCAGGAAUCCUGGAGAGAUCUGGGAGUGCUCGAAAGAGAACCUGCACACAGGUGCUGCAUGGCUGUCGUCAGCUCGUGUCGUGAGAUGUUGGGUUAAGUCCCGCAACGAGCGCAACCCUUGUCAUUAGUUGCUACGCAAGAGCACUCUAAUGAGACUGCCGGUGACAAACCGGAGGAAGGUGGGGAUGACGUCAAGUCCUCAUGGCCCUUAUGGGUAGGGCUUCACACGUCAUACAAUGGUACAUACAGAGGGCCGCCAACCCGCGAGGGGGAGCUAAUCCCAGAAAGUGUAUCGUAGUCCGGAUUGUAGUCUGCAACUCGACUACAUGAAGUUGGAAUCGCUAGUAAUCGCGGAUCAGCAUGUCGCGGUGAAUACGUUCCCGGGUCUUGUACACACCGCCCGUCACACCAUGGGAGCGGGUUUUACCAGAAGUAGGUAGCUUAACCGCAAGGAGGGCGCUUACCACGGUAGGAUUCGUGACUGGGGUGAAGUCGUAACAAGGUAACC